rnacentral:tRNA from 1 species
UGGCCGGUCGUAUAAGGGCAGUACAACGGACUUUGGAUCCGUGAGUGGAGGUUCGAAUCCUUCCCGGCCAG